GACGAACGCUGGCGGCGUGCCUAAUACAUGCAAGUAGAACGCUGAAGAGAGGAGCUUGCUCUUCUUGGAUGAGUUGCGAACGGGUGAGUAACGCGUAGGUAACCUGCCUUGUAGCGGGGGAUAACUAUUGGAAACGAUAGCUAAUACCGCAUAACAAUGGAUGACACAUGUCAUUUAUUUGAAAGGGGCAAUUGCUCCACUAAAAGAUGGACCUGCGUUGUAUUAGCUAGUAGGUGAGGUAAUGGCUCACCUAGGCGACGAUACAUAGCCGACCUGAGAGGGUGGUCGGCCACACUGGGACUGAGACACGGCCCAGACUCCUACGGGAGGCAGCAGUAGGGAAUCUUCGGCAAUGGGGGCAACCCUGACCGAGCAACGCCGCGUGAGUGAAGAAGGUUUUCGGAUCGUAAAGCUCUGUUGUAAGUCAAGAACGGGUGUGAGAGUGGAAAGUUCACACUGUGACGGUAGCUUACCAGAAAGGGACGGCUAACUACGUG
rnacentral:rRNA from 1 species